rnacentral:rRNA from 1 species
GACGAACGCUGGCGGCGUGCUUAACACAUGCAAGUCGAACGGAAAGGCCCUGCUUUUGCGGGGCGCUCGAGUGGCGAACGGGUGAGUAACACGCGAGUAACCUGCCCUUGACUUUGGGAUAACUUCAGGAAACUGGGGCUAAUACCGGAUAGGAGCUCCUGCUGCAUGGUGGGGGUUGGAAAGUUUCGGCGGUUGGGGAUGGACUCGCGGCUUAUCAGCUUGUUGGUGAGGUAGUGGCUUACCAAGGCUUUGACGGGUAGCCGGCCUGAGAGGGUGACCGGCCACAUUGGGACUAAGAUAGGGACCAGACUCCUACGGGAGGCAGCAGUGGGGAAUAUUGCACAGUGGGCGGAAGCCUGAUGCAGCAACGCCGCGUGCGGGAUGACGGCCUUCGAGUUGUGAACCGCUUUCGCCUGUGACGAAGCGUGCGUGACGGUAAUGGGUAAAGAAGCACCGGCUAACUACGUG